CCUGCGGAAGGAUCAUUAAUGAAUUGUAAUGGAGGCUGAUGCUGGGAAAGUCAACUUUGUUGGCCUCCAUGUGCUCGCCGCCCAACAAUAUUUUGUCCAAAUAYAACCACCUGYGCACAUUUCGGGGGAGAGAGAGGGGUGUUCUCUUACUUGUUCCCUCGAUAUACAACCACCGCCUUACAAUAUUGAACGUGAUUGUGCCGCCAGGCUUUUAACGAAAUACAACUUUUAACAACGGAUCUCUUGGCUCUCGCAUCGAUGAAGAACGCAGCGAAAUGCGAUAUGUAAUGUGAAUUGCAGAAUUCAGUGAAUCAUCGAAUCUUUGAACGCACCUUGCGCCCCCUGGUAUUCCGGGGAGCACUCCUGUUCGAGUGUCGUGAAUUCUUCAAGCCUCUGGAUGUUUUUCAUCUCACGGGCUUGGUAGUAUUGGGCUUUGCUGUGCCAUUUGUUGGAGCGGCUUGCCUUAAAAUCAUUAGCUGAUCCUUAUGCGGCAUUGGUUCUACUUGGCGUGAUAACAAUCUGACCGCUGAGGACAUCUCCUGUGGGAUGGCCAAUUCUUCAUCUGGGUUGCUUCUAAUUUGGGCCCGUGCCCCUUUGCAGAUUCUGAUUCUGCUGUGUUGCGCACGGCUCCCUUUUCUCCUUUGACCUCGAAUCAGGUGGGACUACCCGCUGAACUUAAGCAU
rnacentral:rRNA from 1 species